AGUGCUGGAUAUCGUGCAUAGUCUAUGUUUAAUUUCUCUAAAGUACGAUGUACAUUUUGGUAUAAGUGACACUGUUACUUGUCCUUCCUCAUGUUGGUUUCUCGAUGAUUGAUGUAUACUACUUGUUCGCACCUUACAUUUGCACGGCGUUUUAAUUUAAUUAUUAAGUAACGGCAGUUUCGUAAUAGGGCGUGUCAAGCCCCGUCACACCGAGGUCUGCUGAACAAGUGCAGGUAAACAGCGACCUCAGUCUAUGUGAUCGCCGUAAUGCAUAGUGUCAACAGUGCAUCCCAAUUUAAGUUAUACAAUAUAGCACUGAAGAUGGUCACUCAGUGACAGAAAAUCGAUUCUGCAAUAGUAAAAAUAUACGACCAAUGCUGUCUCUUUUUUCAAGUAUACCUGUUAUCUGGUCGUUGUGCACAAGACAACAUGGAG